rnacentral:tRNA from 1 species
GCCUGAGUGGCGGAAUGGUAGACGCAGGGGACUCAAAAUCCCCCGGACUUCGGUCCUUAAGGGUUCAAGUCCCUUCUCAGGUA